AAUGAACGCUGGCGGUAUGCCUAACACAUGCAAGUCGAACGAGACCUUAGGGACUAGUGGCGCUCGGGUGCGUAACGCGUCGGACCCUGCACUUAGGCUCGGAAUUACUCCUCGUAAGGGGUGCUAAUACCGGAUAAUUUCUUCUGAUCACAGAUUCAUCCUCUUUGUAUGAGCACGCGUUGUAUUAGCUUGUUUGUAGGGUAAAAGCCUACCAAGGCGACGAUACAUAGCUGGUCUGAGAGGAUGAUCAGCCACACUGGGUCUGAGACACGGCCCAGACUACUGCGGGAGGCAGGCGUGGCUAAUAUUGGACAAUCGGCGAAAGCCUGAUCCAGCAAUGCCGCGAAAGUGAUGAAGUCCUUAGGGUUGUAAAGCACCUUUACCCGGGAUGAUAAUGACAGUACCGAGAGAAUAAGCUCCGGCUAACUCCGUG
rnacentral:rRNA from 1 species